UUGAGCAUCAAACUUUUAAAUUGAAGAGUUUGAUCAUGGCUCAGAUUGAACGCUGGCGGCAGGCCUAACACAUGCAAGUCGAACGGUAACAGGAAACAGCUUGCUG
rnacentral:rRNA from 1 species